AACGAACGCUGGCGGCGUGGAUAAGACAUGCAAGUCGAACGGGACAGACCGAGUAGCAAUAUUCGGAAUGUUCAGUGGCGAACGGGUGCGUAACACGUGGAUAACAUUCCGGAAAGCGGGGAAUAGCCCAGGGAAACUUGGAUUAAUACCGCAUGUGGCCGCAAGGCUAAAGACGGGGACCGCAAGGCCUGUCAAUUUCCGACUGGGCCGUGGCCUAUCAGCUAGUUGGCGUGGUAAUGGCCCACCAAGGCUACGACGGGUAGCUGGUCUUAGAGGACGACCAGCCACACUGGAACUGAGACACGGUCCAGACACCUACGGGUGGCAGCAGUCGAGAAUCUUUCACAAUGGGGGCAACCCUGAUGGAGCGACGCCGCGUGGAGGAUAAGGUCUUCGGAUUGUAAACUCCUGUCAUGCGAGAACAAGGUACUCAGGCUAAUAACCUGAUUGUUUGAUGGUACCGCAAGAGGAAGAGACGGCUAACUCUGUGCCAGCCGCCGCCGUAAUAC
rnacentral:rRNA from 1 species